rnacentral:rRNA from 1 species
GAUGAACGCUGGCGGCGUGCUUAACACAUGCAAGUCGAACGAAGCACCUUGAUUCGAUUCUUCGGAUGAAGAUCUUGGUGACUGAGUGGCGGACGGGUGAGUAACGCGUGGGUAACCUGCCUCAUACAGGGGGAUAACAGUUAGAAAUGACUGCUAAUACCGCAUAAGACCACAGCACCGCAUGGUGCAGGGGUAAAAACUCCGGUGGUAUGAGAUGGACCUGCGUCUGAUUAGGUAGUUGGUGGGGUAACGGCCUACCAAGCCGACGAUCAGUAGCCGACCUGAGAGGGUGACCGGCCACAUUGGGACUGAGACACGGCCCAAACUCCUACGGGAGGCAGCAGUGGGGAAUAUUGCACAAUGGGGGAAACCCUGAUGCAGCGACGCCGCGUGAGCGAUGAAGUAUUUCGGUAUGUAAAGCUCUAUCAGCAGGGAAGAAAAUGACGGUACCUGACUAAGAAGCACCGGCUAAAUACGUG